rnacentral:rRNA from 1 species
UACGUAGGGUGCGAGCGUCGUCCGGAAUUAUUGGACGUAAAGGGCUCGUAGGCGGUUUGUCACGUCGGGAGUGAAAACUCAGGGCUCAACCCUGAGCCUGCUUCCGAUACGGGCAGACUAGAGGUAUGCAGGGGAGAACGGAGUUCCUGGUGUAGCGGUGAAAUGCGCAGAUAUCAGGAGGAACACCGGUGGCGAAGGCGGUUCUCUGGGCAUUACCUGACGCUGAGGAGCGAGAGUGUGGGGAGCGAACAGG